UGGGGAAUCUUGCACAAUGGGCGAAAGCCUGAUGCAGCGACGCCGCGUGCGGGAUGAAGGCCUUCGGGUUGUAAACCGCUUUCAGCAGGGACGAGGCGAAAGUGACGGUACCUGCAGAAGAAGCCCCGGCUAACUACGUGCCAGCAGCCGCGGUAAUACGUAGGGGGCAAGCGUUAUCCGGAUUCAUUGGGCGUAAAGCGCUCGUAGGCGGUCUGUUAGGUCGGGAGUUAAAUCCGGGGGCUCAACCCCCGUUCGCUCCCGAUACCGGCAGACUUGGGUUUGGUAGGGGAAGGUGGAAUUCCUAGUGUAGCGGUGGAAUGCGCAGAUAUUAGGAAGAACACCAGUGGCGAAGGCGGCCUUCUGGGCCAUAACUGACGCUGAGGAGCGAAAGCUAGGGGAGCAAACAGGAUUAGAUACCCUGGUAGUCCUAGCUGUAAACGAUGAUUACUGGGUGUGGGCAUGAAGAGUGUCCGUGCCGAAGCAAAUGCGAUAAGUAAUCCGCCUGGGGAGUACGACCGCAAGGCUG
rnacentral:rRNA from 1 species